GACGAACGCUGGCGGCGUGCUUAACACAUGCCAGUCGAACGGUGAAGCGCCUUCCUUUUUGGUGGGUGUGGAUGAGUGGCGAACGGGUGAGUAACACGUGAGUAACCUGCCCCCUUCUUCUGGAUAACCGCAUGAAAGUGUGGCUAAUACGGGAUAUUCUGGGUCUGUCGCAUGAUGGGUCUGGGAAAGAUAUUGUUUCGGUGGGGGAUGGGCUCGCGGCCUAUCAGCUUGUUGGUGGGGUGAUGGCCUACCAAGGCGGUGACGGGUAGCCGGCCUGAGAGGGUGGACGGUCACACUGGGACUGAGACACGGCCCAGACUCCUACGGGAGGCAGCAGUGGGGAAUAGUGCACAAUGGGCGAAAGCCUGAUGCAGCGACGCCGCGUGAGGGAUGGAGGCCUUCGGGUUGUGAACCUCUUUCGCCAGUGAAGCAGGCCUGCCUCGUUUGUGGGUGGGUUGACGGUAGCUGGAUAAGAAGCGCCGGCUAACUACGUG
rnacentral:rRNA from 1 species